rnacentral:lncRNA from 1 species
GUUUGGCUCCUAAUGUUAAACUUUAACCCGUGUUAUAUCGGAUGUUUGAUAUUAAUUAUGAGUAUUAAAUAUAAGCUAAUUACAAAAUUAAUUGCACAGAUGGAGGCUAAUUCGCGAGACGAAUCUAUUAAGCCUAAUUAGUCCAUGAUUUGACAAUGUGGUGCUACAUUAACCAUUUGCUAAUGAUGGAUUAAUUAGGUUUAAUAGAUUCGUCUUGCGAAUUAGCCCAGGACUUCUGCAAUUAGUUUUAUAAUUAGCUCAUAUUUAGUCCUUCUAAUUAGCAUCCAAACAUUCGAUGUGAUAAGAGCUAAACUUUAACUCCUGGUAUCAAACAAC